GCGGCUUCCUCCCUAGCCCCGCCCCGCGCGGAUGCAGGCUGCUUGCGUCCCUUAUAGUGCGCAUGCACUCACCGCAUCGUUAUCGACGUCUCCGAGACAGAUUGCGUGUGGGAAGAGGCUCCCGCUAAACUCCAGCGCUACGCGCUGGAGGAGGCGGGUCUUCCGAGCCUGGAGGCGGGCUGCCCCAAGGACUGAUGAGUGACAAAGGAACUGGCCACUGCUUGUCUCCAGAGGGCUAGAACGCAUGGGUAAGCGGACCGUGACGUGGCGAACCUGUUCCCUUGACAACGGGACUCUCUAGGGCUUGACCUAAUAACCUUGACCUCUUACUUUAUUGCCCUGGCAAUGAAGUUCCUAGUCAUUGGACCAUCCCUGAGAAUCAUGUUAACAGUUGUAAUAAAGGACAAUGGUAUGA